rnacentral:sRNA from 1 species
CUUCCAUGAGCUGCGGGCAGAUGAAGUGAAUGUGCGAGUCGAUGCCGCCGGCCGUGACGAUGUUGCCCUCGCAGCUGAUGACUUCGGUGCCGGGGCCGAUGAUGAUGUCCACGCCCGGCUGGGUGUCGGGGUUACCCGCUUUGCCGAUGGCUGCGAUGCGCCCGUCUUUCAGGCCUAUGUCGGCCUUGACGAUGCCCCAGUGGUCCAGGAUCAGGGCAUUGGUCAUGACAGUGUCCACGGCGCCAUCAGCGCUCGUGCGCUGCGACUGCGCCAUGCCGUCGCGUAU